UUAAGAGUAAAAUGAGUAAUAUAUUGAUUAUAUUGUAAUUCUUAUUAAGGUGGAUUGUGGGUAUUAAUCUGUGAAGGCGAAAGAGUCUUGGAAGCUUAGAAGAAGUUGUAUGUGAGAAUUGAUUUGCAUUUGAGGUUUGUAUUGGGAGCUCAUAGUGGAUCAGAAAUAAAGAAUUGGUGAUAAAGUUGUAAAUAUAUUAGUGAUUCGAAGUUAGAUUUAAAAUAUAAGUUGUUGAAUAUUAAGUUCUCAUUUGAUAUUUAAGUAUUAUAUAUAUUUGGGAUUUGAGUAA